rnacentral:rRNA from 1 species
CUACAUGAAGCUGGAGUUACUAGUAAUCGCAGAUCAGAAUGCUGCGGUGAAUGCGUUCCCGGGUCUUGUACACACCGCCCGUCACACCCCGGGAGUUGGAGACGCCCGAAGCCGAUUAUCUAACCUUGUGGAAGAAGUCGUCGAAGGUGGAAUCAAUAACUGGGGUGAAGUCGUAACAAGGUAGCCGUAUCGGAAGGUGCGGCUGGAUCACCUCCU